rnacentral:rRNA from 1 species
GAUGAACGCUGGCGGCGUGCCUAAUACAUGCAAGUCGAGCGAACAGACGAGGAGCUUGCUCCUUUGACGUUAGCGGCGGACGGGUGAGUAACACGUGGGUAACCUACUUAUAAGACUGGGAUAACUUCGGGAAACCGGAGCUAAUACCGGAUAAUAUUUCGAACCGCAUGGUUCGAUAGUGAAAGAUGGCUUUGCUAUCACUUAUAGAUGGACCUGCGCCGUAUUAGCUAGUUGGUAAGGUAACGGCUUACCAAGGCAACGAUACGUAGCCGACCUGAGAGGAUGAUCGGCCACACUGGAACUGAGACACGGUCCAGACUCCUACGGGAGGCAGCAGUAGGGAAUCUUCCGCAAUGGGCGAAAGCCUGACGGAGCAACGCCGCGUGAGUGAUGAAGGUCUUCGGAUCGUAAAGCUCUGUUAUUAGGGAAGAACAAACGUGUAAGUAACUGUGCACGUCUUGACGGUACCUAAUCAAAAAGCCACGGCUAACUACGUG